AUUGAACGCUGGCGGCAGGCCUAACACAUGCAAGUCGAACGAGUGGCGGACGGGUGAGUAAUGUCUGGGCAACUGCCUGAUGGAGGGGGAUAACUACUGGAAACGGUAGCUAAUACCGCAUACCAUCGGAUGUGCCCAGAUGGGAUUAGCUAGUAGGUGGGGUAAUGGGUCACAUAGGCGACGAUCCCUAGCUGGUCUGAGAGGAUGACCAGCGAAAGUGGAACUGAGACACGGUCCAGACGCCUACGGGAGGCAGCAGGGGGGAAUAGUGCACAAGGGGCGCAAGCCUGAUGAAGCCAUGCCGCGUGUAUGAAGAAGGCCGUAGGGUUGUAAAGUACUUUCAGCGAGGAGGCGUUACUCGCAGAAGAAGCACCGGCUAACUCCGUGCCAGCAGCCGCGGUAAUUC
rnacentral:rRNA from 1 species